rnacentral:rRNA from 1 species
AUACGGAAGGUCCGGGCGUUAUCCGGAUUUAUUGGGUUUAAAGGGAGCGCAGGCGGAGAUGCAAGCGUGACGUCAAAUUUCGGGGCUCAACCCCGUCUCGCGUCGCGAACUGCGUCCCUUGGUUGCGGGAAGGGGAGGCGGCACUCGAGGGUUAGGGGGGAAAUGCAUAGAUAUCACGAAGAACCCCGAUCGCGAAGGCAGCCUUCCGGCCCGUCAACGACGCUCAUGCUCGAAGGUGCGGGUAUCAAACAGGAUUAGAUACCCUGGUAGUCCGCACAGUAAACGAUGGACACCCGCGGUUUGGCCUGUAUGGCUGAGCCGCCAAGCGAAAGCGUUAAGUGUCCCACCUGGGGAGUACGCCGGCAACGGUGAAACUCAAAGGAAUUGACGGGG